rnacentral:lncRNA from 1 species
UGGCAUAAAGAUAUUACAAAAAGAUAAACUUGAACAUCAUUCUGGAACAAAUAACAGAAAACUAAGAAAUUGAAAGAAUGUUUACCAAGAAACGUGGAUUUUAACAAAGAUAUUGCUUGUGUGUGCUUCACUGUUGUCCAGUUAAAAUCAUAACAUUUUGCACAAGAAACGUGGGUUUUAACAUUCUUCACAAAUCAUAACUUCGAAGCUUCGAACAAGAACAAUGGAUUUUAACACUGUCUAGCUACAUUGAACUGCCAAAACAAUUUUACACAACAAUAGAACACAAAAGAUGUAAUUGCCUAAAUCUCCAUGUGAUAGGCCAUUCGAUUAAUUCCUGCUACUCAUGCUGGCCCCUUUCCUUUGGCCUUUCCUUCCGCGCUACCAUUCACUUUGCUAAUUGUCACGGUCAUCAAAAUUUGUAGUUCUUCAUCAUUGAGACGAACUCGAGAGAUUGGAACAUGUGUUCCUUAUUUUCAACUCUUUCGUUCGUCCAUUCUAUGAGGGGAACAUGCGCUCCAUAUCUUCAUGCUGACCCCUUAGCUAUACAACUACGACAAAUUCCAUAAUUUUGUCCGCCCACUCUACAAGGAGAAUAAACCACAGAUCACGGUCAAUUCAAAUAAAUAAGUAGAGGUAAAACACGCAUUAAUGAUCCAAUUGGAACUUGAAACUCUAAAAGAGUAAUCACACAUCAUAUAAGCCAAUUAAAAUUCAUUUUAAGAAAUCAAGAAACAGAGAAGCUCAUUUAGUGGAAGAGUAUUUUAAUGUUUUAAAUUUGUUCGGCAGGUGGUGGAAUACGAACAUACAAUUAAGCACAACAUAGGGGACCUUCAUCAACAUGUCCGUAAUAUGAAAACAAAUUAAAGUACGCCUUGAGAAUUUUCAAUUCAGUAUAAGCCUUCCAUUACGUACAAAAACAAUACCAUUUACUAAAAUUGGAAAAGGGAGAAAAUUAGAACUUCCCCUUAGGUUUGAAUCUGCAAAAUUGUUAAAACACAAUUUGUAUCAAUAAAGCCAGUAAGAAAAUGAUUGUUAUUGAGAUUAUGCGUUUUUUCAAUACGUUUAUUCAUCAACACGACAAAAGAAAACUACGCUGCAAUGAAUAAUUGAAUAACAGUAAAGUGAGAGAGAGACGAGCAUAACCUGUAAAGUAUGAGAGGCUAAAAUAGGGGAGAAAAAAUUAAUUCAAACCACGAGAAGCACCACCGUUUCUUUUCGUCUAUAUGAAAUUAUGACUACAACGAUAGAUUAGUUUUCACACAGUGUUCUAGCAUGCGGCCGGAGAUAAAGCGGGAGGUGGUGAAACCAUGGCCCGAAGUGCGGCCAAAGCUGAGGCAAAACCUUUGGUUGAAGUGCGGUCGGAGAAUGUGAACCGUCCAGUGGUGAAACAGUCGACGAAAUUGCUGCCGAAGCCACGAAGAUAUCUCCGAUUGCAGGGCUGCCGGAGAUGGUGAGGCGACGACACAGUACGGACUCUGAUUUUCGAUUUUGGGAGAAACGUGGGUUGUGGGUCACGGUUGGUGUAGACAGAUUUGGGGAAGACAGCUGCGUUUUUCUUUGGUUUUCUAUAUUUGGUGUUCUUUAAAGUGCCACGUCAGCCUGGACUCAACCCUGUUUUCUACCCUGUGCGUGUAGCGGAAUUGUAACAUAUUUUGCUUUAAGUUCUACAGCUCAGCUCUGUCCUGACAGAAUUGUUUAUCCUGCGGAUCAUUGAAGUAAUGAAGUAGAA